UACGGAGGAUGCGAGCGUUAUCCGGAUUUAUUGGGUUUAAAGGGUGCGUAGGCGGGCUUUUAAGUCAGCGGUAAAAAUUCGGGGCUCAACCCCGUCCGGCCGUUGAAACUGGGGGUCUUGAGUGGGCGAGAAGAAGGCGGAAUGCGUGGUGUAGCGGUGAAAUGCAUAGAUAUCACGCGGAACCCCGAUUGCGAAGGCAGCCUUCCGGCGCCCUACUGACGCUGAGGCACGAAAGUGCGGGGAUCGAACAGG
rnacentral:rRNA from 1 species